UACGUAGGGUGCAAGCGUUAAUCGGAAUUACUGGGCGUAAAGCGUGCGCAGGCGGUUGUGUAAGUCUGUCGUGAAAUCCCCGGGCUCAACCUGGGAAUUGCGAUGGAGACUGCACGGCUAGAGUGUGUCAGAGGGGGGGUAGAAUUCCACGUGUAGCAGUGAAAUGCGUAGAUAUGUGGAGGAACACCGAUGGCGAAGGCAGCCCCCCUGGGGAUAACACUGACGCUCAUGCACGAAAGCGUGGGGAGCAAACAGG
rnacentral:rRNA from 1 species